GGGUCAAUGAUGACUUCCCAAUGUCAUGAAGAUAGGUGAUGACAAUGCAAAAUAAAAUUAAUGUGGGAAUAAGCUGAAGCCC